UUGAAGUUCGCUCCGCUUUUUUCGGCUCCUCGGCUCUUCGGCUCCCAGAGGGACGCAUAAUCUCUCGGUAUCUCCCCGUGCUACGAUGUUUCCAUUCGCUUCCGGCGCCCAAUUCAGUGCCGAGUGGCUGAGGGGAACUGGGAUCCCGGUGUGGAGGUGUAUAUUGGGUUAGGUUUAGGGGUGAGGUAUCCCGUCGUCGUCACCGUGGCCAAAGAGGUGGUCGCGAGUAGAAUAAGGGAUGGCCGGACUUCUCCCCUUCCAUACGGCGUCAGAUACGGUGCCGGCGAGGUGCCGAAGGCCUUUUGUAUCGCGGAUGACGGAUCCGGUUCACCGGACUCUGUGGCGGUGGUUCUUUUCGUCGGAAGCUGCGCUGGUGAUGGUGGCAGCUCCCGGCGACGUGACGGUUGCUGGGGCUUCAGUCCCUGUUUUGGGGAUGAGGAUGGUAGCAGUUCUUCAUCCUUCGCGUCUCUGGCGAGCUGGAGUCCUGGCGGAGGCAUGGAGCCAUCCAAUCUGUGGGGAUUAUCGGAACCCGACAUUUGUUCCAGUUUUUUACAUGCAGCCUCCAAAGCCCUUUGAAGGCGAUGCAGAUGGAUCAUGGAUGGUUUCUCCAUGGCGGAUCGAGCAGACGGUGAGCGGCCGGCCGGCUUGAUGGCAUCGGAAUGUCAUUACUACAGGUCUCAAAUUAAUUUACCAUGUAUGGACUCCAGUUUGCUCUUGCAAUCAUCUGCCAGAGUUAGGAAACAUCUGCAACCUCGACGCCACCUGGAACAUGUUUCAAUCCCCUCUCUGUACGAAGUUCCCCCUGAUUCCUCCAUUUCAAAUAUUCGUGCAGCAUGUUUUUCCCCCUGUUAGAUUGCUACCAUGAACUUCACAUGUUGAUUAUUUUAUUUGCUUUCCUUUUGUAUGUCCAGGUGAGUCAACAUUCGUAUUAUGAAUUCCAUCUCCAGCCUGCAUACUAAGUUAAACUAUGAACAUUUUCAGGCAUCUCAAAGAUUGGACAUGUUGUCACUUCUAGGUUCCAGCCAACCAAGUAGUGAGAGCGUUGUUAUUAUCCUUUGAAACACCACUUUAUAGUCCAACUAUCCUUAGCCAUGGGAUCUCAAAUGAUAAUACAUCAACAGUCAGUGUGAUUGAUUCUGACGAUACAAAAAGAAUUCGAACGAGGUACUGCUAAUAGAUGUGCAUACUUAUUUAAUUCCUCGAUGAACGAGGUACUAAUAAUACAUCAACAGUCAGUGUAACUUUCUUUCACAGAAACCCCGGUACAAAAAAUGUAGACUUUACAAAAAAUGUAUGAAAAAAUCAACAUCCUACUAGGUAAAUCCUACCAUUCUUCCAUACAUUUAUAGAAGAAAAUUAAAGUUCAUAUUCUGAUUUGA